rfam:Heterocephalus glaber contig108866, whole genome shotgun sequence.
GGGUUGGUGAGGGCAAUGUAGGCAACAUCUGUCACUCCAUUGCUUGUCAGGAUUAUUUUAGCCGAUUUGUCUGACUGGGCAGGUGUCCCCUCUCUCCCUCAGUGCUCCAUGUGCAUCCCUCUUGAAGCUUCGCACUCUGUUGAAGAGGACACUCAUCCCAGGUAGAGAGGGGGUCGGGAAAUUGGGCCGAUUGAAUCUAUGUUCUUUUUUUUCCCCAUCAGCUCAAGGCUACUUAAUUGGGAUCCAUUGACUUCCUAAGGUCUAUAACCUCUAUGAAAUUACUUGCUAAGUUUUGUUUAUGCAU